rnacentral:lncRNA from 1 species
GCUUAUUUGACCUUAGUUGGUCAGUUACCGGAGGUAUUGUAGGUGCGGGGGUGGCAUUAGUCGGGAAUGGAGGUUGUGGAACAGCCGUAUUAGUUCGAAUGUAUUGGUUGAACCAAUCAUUCAUCACACUAUAGAAAGCUUGUCUAGCUUCAUCAUUCGGAUUACUAGCAAUAGGUUGAGAGUCCGCCGGAGCUGUCCCUUGUGC